UACGGGGGGGGCAAGCGUUGUUCGGAAUUACUGGGCGUAAAGGGUUCGUAGGUGGCCAACUAAGUCAGACGUGAAAUCCCUCAGCUUAACUGGGGAACUGCGUCUGAGACUGGAUGGCUUGAGUGCAGGAGAGGAACGCGGAAUUCCAGGUGUAGCGGUGAAAUGCGUAGAUAUCAGGAGGAACACCGGUGGCGAAGGCGGUUCUCUGGGCCUUACCUGACGCUGAGGAGCGAAAGCGUGGGGAGCAAACAGG
rnacentral:rRNA from 1 species